GUGACCAGAUCGAUUAAGCAAAUGUAUAAAUAUAAAAUACAAAUGGUAGGGUAUAUGUAGCUUCUUAAAAUAAGUAUUCCUUUUUUUUUUCUUCCAUUCAGUUUCACCUGGGGAAACCUUCUUGUUACCCCCAUUGUGAGACCCACGGCGUUAGCUCACCCGACCAGAACAGGCAAACAUUUCUCUUCUGUUCUUAGUACGUUUAAAAAAUGUUUACCGGCCAGGAUAUGUAUGGCUUCGUAUCCAGAACCAUGUGGGAAAACACAAACUUACGAUCCCACAACUUCCAAGGAAACAAUGUUCUCGCUGGUUUUGGUUUCAGCAUGACUUCCUAUCAAAACAAAGCUGUCAGCCAUUCUUCCACCAUAAUAGACGUGUUUCAUCUGAAGAAUGACAGUGGAUCUGGAUUCAUCGAGCGAAGAAGGAAUGACUGUCUCCACAUCGUUACAAAACAGGCAUUUAACUUCUCAAUGACAGCAGCAGCAGCGAGUGCAUGCAGGCAUGACAGUGGACAGGCUAAUGUCCCUCUCC